rnacentral:rRNA from 1 species
UACAGAGGGUGCGAGCGUUAAUCGGAAUUACUGGGCGUAAAGGGCGCGUAGGCGGUUAAAUAAGUUAGAUGUGAAAUCUCCGAGCUUAACUUGGGAACUGCAUAUAAUACUGUUUAGCUAGAGUAGAAUAGAGGGGAGUGGAAUUUCCGGUGUAGCGGUGAAAUGCGUAGAUAUCGGAAAGAACACCAGUGGCGAAGGCGGCUUCCUGGAUUCAUACUGACGCUGAGGAGCGAAAGCAUGGGGAGCAAACAGG